AUGAACGCUGGCGGCGUGCCUAAUACAUGCAAGUCGAGCGGACCUCUUCGGAGGUUAGCGGCGGACGGGUGAGUAACACGGGGGCAACCUACCUUGUAGAUGGGGAUAACAUCGAGAAAUCGGUGCUAAUACCGAAUAACACUUUUCUCCACAUGGAGAAAAGUUAAAAGUUGGCUUUUGCUAACACUACAAGGUGGGCCCGCGGCGCAUUAGCUAGUUGGUGAGGUAACGGCUCACCAAGGCGACGAUGCGUAGCCGACCUGAGAGGGUGGUCGGCCACACUGGGACUGAGACACGGCCCAGACUCCUACGGGAGGCAGCAGUAGGGAAUCUUCCGCAAUGGACGAAAGUCUGACGGAGCAACGCCGCGUGAGUGAUGAAGGCCUUCGGGUCGUAAAACUCUGUUGUUAGGGAAGAACAAGUACCGUUCGAAUAGGGCGGUACCGUGACGGUACCUAACCAGAAAGCCACGGCUAACUACGUGCCAGCAGCCGCCGUAA
rnacentral:rRNA from 1 species